CAUGCUUCUUCUUUUUCUUUCUUUUUGCUGACUUCCUUUUUUCUUCUUUUUGUUUAGUAUGUAUGCAAACAAACAUAACACAAAGCCAUCUUCCAAACGGGGUAGGCAACUUUUCCUUUGUUUUGUCUGUAUGCACACAAACACAAUAUGAGGGAUUCAAACUUUCUUUCUCUUUUUUUAUUUGAUGACUUCUCCUCUUCUUCUUGCUCUAUCUGUAUGCAAACAACACAACACAAAGCAAUCUUCCCAACACCAUAUUUUCUUCUUUGUCAUUUGCAACAACUAAUUUCCUCUCUUUUUUUCUUUGCUUUCGAUGCAGCAUACUCAAACUGAGAAAAGAAGGGUCUGUUCAAUUUUCUCAAAUAGGGAAGAAAUUGGUGUGUCUUCUUAACAGAGAGGGAAAGAGUUGGUCAGAGAGUUUCAAGAGGUAUAAACUCAUUUUACAUUUGCCGUGAGAUUAAACUCCUAUUGUUUUGGUUUAUGUCAUCAACUCCUUUAUUGCAACUUGUGGUGGAGAACUCACUUCCCAUUUUUAUUUGAAGCUACAGAGAAGGAAUUAGUGUGAUUUUCUCAAACAAUGGUAAAGCAUAUUCCUGUUUUCUGUGCAUAUUUUGGAAUUAACUCCCAUAACAUCGUUUUUUUGUUCUCCCAUGGAUUUUCUUUUGCUUGGCACAACUUUAUUGAACGGGAAUCAUCCCAUGAAUUUUCUAUCCAUAUAUGUGAUUUAAGGGUUGCCACCCAACAUGGAUUUAUCAUCCAAGAAUUUGAUUUAAGGGUUGCUACCCAACAUGGAUUAAUAUCCAAGAAAUUGAUUAAAGGGUUGCAACCCACCAUGGAUUUAUCAUCCAAGAAUCUGACACAAGGGUUGCCACCACACAGAAAUUAAUGGUGAUGGCAGUAUACCUGUGGCAAUUUCUUUUGUCUCUAUGCUUUAGCAAUUUUUCCAGCAGCAGCUCCUUUUUUUCUUCUUUCUCCACCUCUUUUUUUUCUUCUUUUCCUUUCUUCCUCUCUUCUCUUUUUAUAGAGUCAUUGCGAGAGAAAUUUGAGAUGGAAUAAUCCUCAUUCAAAUUGGAUUCCUCCUCCACUUUAUUAGAUUGUCAUUUUCCUUUAUUUACUGAAUGGAUGAUCCUUUCCUUUUCUUUAGGCAUAAGAUCAGGGACAAUUUGAUUUCUUGGGUGUUUUAAAUUUGUUUUGAAAACAAGUAUAGUGUGAGGACCAGACCCACCCAACGUUGUUGGGCUUAUCAAAACCCACAUUUGAAUUUUAUUUUAUUUCAACAAUGAUAUUUUGGAAACGAUUUCUGAUUUGUGCUUUAAAUUAGAAAACAAGAAAAAGAUGUUUUCGUCGUUUUCAUGGCAAAAGUGAAAACCUGGAAAACAGCUAAGACCAAAAAUAAAAAUUAUACUAUCUAUAUUUGUGUUAAUUUCCACACAUCCACUCUCUCUAAAAUUAUAGUUGUUGAUUUAUUAUGGGUAUUGUUGACGCUCGGUAUACACUGAGCCCAUUUGCCCAAUAAGAACAAAACACGUGGGCCUCGUUACCUAGGUGGCAAAAGCGGUCAUCCAGCCCUCUUAACUACCAACCAUGCACAUCGGCUUGAUUCCCAACCUCACCACCUCAGGAGUCGACAAAACCUCCCCUGACAACGGAGGAUUCACUGCCUCUUGAAAUACUGCCCAUGUCCUCUCCAAUACGACAUAUAAAUCAUCUAACCCUUUCCUUGACCAGAUACGACUCCGGUUACUCGUGGCAUGUUACUCUACCCACUCCUGCCCUCUAGUUGAGAUGAGGACAUGGAAGGACCCCGACCGUCCACCACAUUGAUGUCACAUAAAUGGCUUGGCUCAGAGCCGAGGUGACCGACUUAAAGAAUAUCUUGUGAAACUCCUUAUAAAUAGGGCUUGAAUUUGUGUAAAAAAUCGUAUGACCUUUUCUCAGGUACAAAAGAAGAUCUGUCAAAUACAUAAAAGAUUACUCUUGUUCGUGUCGUUAUUCCAACAUAAGCAUCAUACCAUCAAGGAACCAAAUCUCCUCUUCAUGAUGAGCCAUGUAGAGAAGGUGGACAAGAUGAAGCAAUCGAGAGAGACAAAAAUGGAACUAGAAGGGGAUUGGGAGGAAGACAAAAGGAGAGAGGUAACAUGAGGGUUAGAGGAAAGGGGAGG
rnacentral:lncRNA from 1 species